rnacentral:rRNA from 1 species
ACUCCUACGGGAGGCAGCAGUGAGGAAUAUUGGUCAAUGGAGGGAACUCUGAACCAGCCAUCCCGCGUGUAGGAAGACGGCCUUAUGGGUUGUAAACUACUUUUAUACAGGAAGAAACGUACCCUCGUGAGGGUGCCUGACGGUACUGUAGGAAUAAGCACCGGCUAACUCCGUGCCAGCAGCCGCGGUAAUACGGAGGGUGCGAGCGUUAUCCGGAAUUACUGGGUUUAAAGGGUGCGUAGGCGGGCGAUUAAGUCAGAGGUGAAAGCUUUCAGCUUAACUGAGAAAUUGCCUUUGAUACUGAUUGUCUUGAAAUAUGUUGAGGUUAGCAGAAUGUGGCAUGUAGCGGUGAAAUGCAUAGAUAUGCCAUAGAAUACCAAUUGCGAAGGCAGCUAACUGGGCAUUAUUUGACGCUGAGGCACGAAAGCGUGGGGAGCGAACAGGAUUAGAUACCCUGGUAGGCUCU